rnacentral:rRNA from 1 species
AACGAACGCUGGCGGCAGGCCUAACACAUGCAAGUCGAACGUGAAGCCACCUUCGGGUGGUGGAAAGUGGCAGACGGGUGAGUAACGCGUGGGAACGUGCCUUUCGGUUCGGGAUAACCCAGGGAAACUUGGGCUAAUACCGGAUACGCCCUUCGGGGGAAAGAUUCAUUGCCGAAAGAUCGGCCCGCGUCGGAUUAGCUAGUUGGUGGGGUAAAAGCCUACCAAGGCGACGAUCCGUAGCUGGUCUGAGAGGAUGACCAGCCACACUGGGACUGAGACACGGCCCAGACUCCUACGGGAGGCAGCAGUGGGGAAUAUUGGACAAUGGGCGCAAGCCUGAUCCAGCCAUGCCGCGUGGGUGAAGAAGGCCCUAGGGUUGUAAACCCCUUUCAGCGGGGAAGAUAAUGACGGUACCCGCAGAAGAAGUCCCGGCUAACUCCGUGCCAGCAGCCGCCGUAA